UUAUAAGCAAAACUUUCCAUUUUUGAUUCACUCAUUAAAUGAUGUAUAUGGUCAAUAAUAAAGACUGUAUACAUCAUUUAAUGAAUGAAUCUAAAAUACAAAGUUUUGCUUAUAA
rfam:Medicago truncatula strain A17 chromosome 3, whole genome shotgun sequence.